AUUCAGCUGACGCGUCCCAAAUAGGAUGAAAUGCGCUUCCUGGAU
rnacentral:hammerhead_ribozyme from 1 species